rnacentral:lncRNA from 1 species
AGUAAGUACUAAUGUAACAUUAAACUAAUGCAUUUGUUUAGUAGUAGUGGGGAACAAAACAUAAUAGCAUGGGGAGGCCUAAUGGGAAAGUAAUUAAAGUAUGUACUACCCAUAACCAUUGAAUUAGAUAAAGAAAAGACAAGGGUUAGUGGGGAACAAGUGAAUCAAAAACAGAGCAAAACAUAUAUGGGUGGGGUUCUAGAGAAUAUCAUGGGCAAAAAUGCUUAAUUAAUGGGUCUGAGUGCUCCUAAGAGCUGUAAAAGGGGAUGUAGUUUGCAUAUAAAUAGGGGGAUUUUGGACAGAGUUAAGGAUCCUUUUUUUUCAAAUAGGACAGAGUCUUCCUUUUUGAAUCAGUUUUAGAGAGAUAUAGAGCUUUUAAGGCACUCAGUUUUGGAGAGAGGUUCAAGACUGGAAUCAAUUUGAGAAUGCUUUGGAGAGAUUUUCUAGGAUUUUAGUUCUUAGGGAGCAUUUUGAAAACUUUUAGGGCAUUCAAUUCUAAUUUGAAACAUACAGAGAGUUUGAGAUAUCAAUUUUAUGAGCCCUUUUUUGAGAGCUUUUGGAUUGCUAGCUACUGGAGUCAGUAGUGUUUUCUGCUUGAUUUUCGAGAAGACUUUUGAUUUCAGUCGAGACAUUCUAGGAGCAGAUUGAGCGUGUUGUUGAUGUGGUAUGUUUCUAGGUUCAAUUUGAAGGUCAUUUGGGUUUAUUCGAAUCUAUUUUGGGUUGAUUUAUUUAUCUUGUUAGUUUAAAACAUUUCUGAAUUCUUCCUGUAUUGAUAAAUAUAUUUCUGGGCUGAAGCUGGGUUGAUUGGUGUUGUUUGAACUCAAAUACUUGGUUGUUGUGAUCCGUUGUGUGCUGCUGUUGCUAACCUCUCCUUCUUCCUAUUCCUUUAUGCUUUCAGGUACACAUUCUCAGUUUGAGUUGAUGUAGCUCUUUUGGUUAAAAAAUAGUGAAAUGAAAUAAUUUCAUAUUCACCUCUUAACAGGUGUGGGUCCAAGUAGUUAUGCCAAAAAUAGGUAAUAGUUGAUUUGUAUUUGUUUAGACUUACUUUAUGAUUUACAUUGUACAAGUGAGCUGAAGAUUGGAUUGUAUAACUUAAGACUGAUUUUGGACUACUGAACUCUCAGUUGGACUUAUGUGUUCGUGUUGGCAAUUAGGUAGAAAUUGAAGUAGUAUUCGUACUAUUAACAAAUCAUGUUUGAAACUCAGCAUAAAUGAGACUAUUACAUGUUGUAUACUAGUGGUAGUUAGUUCAUGUUAGGUGGAUAGAACAAUCUCAUAAGUGAUUUGUUUAACAUCAACAUCAUCUUCAUAGCUUGAGUUCUAAUUAAAAAGAAACGGUGUUGGUUUAGUUCAAUUUGGUCAAUGAAUUCAAUAGGUUCAAUGAAUUGACAAGCACGUCCUUAAAGUCUGUUUAAAACAAAAUCGCAGAUAGAAAUGUCCAUUCUUUGUCCUUGAUAAAAGAAACCAAACAAAAUAAUCCGUUGAAUGAACUGG